GAGUGCGAUCAUACUGGCACCAAUGCACCGGAUCCUAUCAGAACGCCGUGGUUAAGCGUGCUUGGGCGAGAGUAGUACUAGGGUGGGUGACCACCUAGGAAGUCCUCGUGUUGCCCCCC